CUAAGAAUAUUCCGCAAUGGACGAAAGUCUGACGGAGCGACGCCGCGUGGAUGAGGAAGGCCGAAAGGUUGUAAAGUCCUUUUGUCGAUGAAGAAUAAGUGUGGGAGGGAAUGCCCGCAUGAUGACGUUAGUCGGCGAAUAAGCCCCGGCUAAUUACGUGCCAGCAGCCGCGGUAACACGUAAGGGGCGAGCGUUGUUCGGAAUUAUUGGGCGUAAAGGGUGCGUAGGCGGUCGUGCAAGCCUGGUGUGAAAUCCUGGGGCUUAACCCCAGAACUGCAUUGGGAACUGCGGGACUAGAGUCAUGGAAGGGGAGUUGGAAUUCCAGGUGUAGGGGUGAAAUCUGUAGAUAUCUGGAAGAACACCGGUGGCGAAGGCGAACUCCUGGCCAAUGACUGACGCUGAGGCACGAAAGUGCGGGGAGCAAACA
rnacentral:rRNA from 1 species